AGCAGUAGCCACGGGAAUACGUAGGUGGCAAGCGUUGUCCGGAAUUAUUGGGCGUAAAGGGCUCGCAGGCGGUUUCUUAAGUCUGAUGUGAAAGCCCCCGGCUCAACCGGGGAGGGUCAUUGGAAACUGGGAAACUUGAGUGCAGAAGAGGAGAGUGGAAUUCCACGUGUAGUGGUGAAAUGCGUAGAGAUGUGGAGGAACACCAGUGGCGAAGGCGACUCUCUGGUCUGUAACUGACACUGAGGAGCGAAAGCGUGGGGAGCGAACAGGAUUAGAUACCCCCGUAGUCCCUGUCUCUUAUAC
rnacentral:rRNA from 1 species